rnacentral:rRNA from 1 species
GACGACGCUGGCGGCGUGGAUUAGGCAUGCAAGUCGAACGGUAUCAUCCUUCGGGGGUGAGAGAGUGGUGAACUGGUGAGUAACACGUAGGUUAUCUACCCUCAAGACGGGGACAACCCAGGGAAACUUGGGCUAAUACCGGAUGUGAGCAACUUUUAGUUGUUUGAAAGGUGGCGUAAGCUGUCGCUUGGGGAUGAGCCUGCGUCCUAUUAGUUAGUUGGUGAGGUAACGGCUCACCUAGGCAAUGAUAGGUAGGCGGCCUUAACGGGUGGUCGCCCACACUGGGAUUGAGAUACGGCCCAGACUCCUACGGGAGGCAGCAGUCGAGAAUAGUCUACAAUGGUCGGAAGACUGAUAGUGCGACGCCGCGUGAACGAUGAAUCCCUUCGGGGUGUAAAGUUCUUUUAUAUGUGAGCAGUGCUUCUUAUAUUAACAGUAUGGGGAGAGAGAUAUUAGCAUAUGAAUAAGCAACGGCUAACUCCGUG